rnacentral:rRNA from 1 species
CCUACGGGGGGCAGCAGUGGGGAAUAUUGGACAAUGGGCGAAAGCCUGAUCCAGCCAUGCCGCGUGUGUGAAGAAGGCCUUCGGGUUGUAAAGCACUUUCAGUGGGGAAGAAAGCCUUGGGGCUAAUACCCUCGAGGAAGGACAUCACCCACAGAAGAAGCACCGGCUAACUCCGUGCCAGCAGCCGCGGUAAUACGGAGGGUGCGAGCGUUAAUCGGAAUUACUGGGCGUAAAGCGCGCGUAGGCGGUCUGAUAAGCCGGUUGUGAAAGCCCCGGGCUCAACCUGGGAACGGCAUCCGGAACUGUCAGGCUAGAGUGCAGGAGAGGAAGGUAGAAUUCCCGGUGUAGCAGUGAAAUGCGUAGAGAUCGGGAGGAAUACCAGUGGCGAAGGCGGCCUUCUGGACUGACACUGACGCUGAGGUGCGAAAGCGUGGGUAGCAAACAGGAUUAGAUACCCGAGUAGUC